rnacentral:rRNA from 1 species
GACGAAGGGGGCUAGCGUUGUUCGGAAUUACUGGGCGUAAAGCGCGUGUAGGCGGUUGCCAUAGUCAGGUGUGAAAGCCUUGAGCUCAACUCAAGAAAUGCACUUGAUACUGGGCGACUAGAGGACCGGAGAGGAUAGUGGAAUUCCCAGUGUAGUGGUGAAAUACGUAGGGAUUGGGAAGAACACCAGUGGCGAAGGCGGCUAUCUGGACGGUUUCUGACGCUAAGACGCGAAAGCGUGGGGAGCAAACAGG